AGUCUACCAGGAAUGCUCUUCUCUGCAGGAGACGAACCUUCAGGCUUUCAGUGUAGCCACCAGCAGCCACAGUAAUGACUCGGAAGAUAGUUCUCGUCUCUCCCAUCAACAACUGGAAAAAAUCGCAUCCCUGGGGUAACAUCCUCAGAAGUAACACUCGAUCAUGCCUAUGAGCUACUGAAAACUGAAAUCAAACAGACAAAUCAACCAGCCCUAAACUACCCUGAUGGGACACUGUAAUGGCCACCUCAGCGGCCAUGUGGCUCAGUCCUCGCAGCAGCGUUCUCUUCUAUUUAUCAAUUUCUUCCCUGUAUCUCCCGGUUUGCCUGCGUCUUCACUCAUCAUUCAUUUACAAAGCCAUUCAGAGCAUCAGAAACCAAUUUCCUCCCUGAACCCGGUCCUGUAACAAAACAAGGCUACCCUGCAUGCAAGUGAUGUUAUGAAGAUGUGUGCUGUUUUGAACAGAGGAGUGUGUAGCAGGAGGUGGAUUAAGACGAAAAAGAAGCCAAACUCUGUGUUUCAUGAACUGAGUCUUUUCUUCAGCUCAGCAUCCCCCUGCAACAUAAAAAUAGAUGCUUUCCACUUUGUUCUCCUGCACAGGUCUGUAAACUGUCAUGAAAUUACACAUCAAGCUAACGGGCACUGAAGUUUGACUUGCACUUUUGUUCUCUUCUUGCUCCUGAAUCUUUGAUUCCUUUCUCCAAUCAGACAGCUUAAUUAGCCUGAGCCCACCCAACAAGCAGCUGGCUAGCAGCUACCCAUCCCUCGCAUGCUGCUCUGCCUCUGAA